rnacentral:rRNA from 1 species
UGAAUAUUUUAAAGGGCCGCGGUAUCUUGACCGUGCAAAGGUAGCAUAGUCAUUUGUCUUUUAAUUGGAGGCUUGUAUGAAUGGUCGCACAAAAAAUAAUUUGUCUUAAUUAAAUAUAUUGAAUUUAACUUUUAAGUAAAAAGGCUUAAAUAAAUUAAAGUGACGAUAAGACCCUAUAAAACUUUAUAAUCUAUACUAAAAAAAUAUAUUAGUUAUUUAAAAUUUUUUUUGUGGAUUUUAUUUUAUUGGGGCGAUAAAAAUAAAAAUAGUAACUGUUUUUAAAAUUUAAAUGAUAAUUGUCAGUUUUAUUAAAUGAUCCUUUAUUAAAGAUUAUAAGAUUAAGUUACUUUAGGGAUAACAGCGUAAUUUUCUUUGAGAGCUCUUAUCUACAAGAAAGAUUGUGA